UACAGAGGUGCCAAGCGUUAGGCGGAAUCACUGGGCUUAAAGCGCGUGUAGGCGGGUCGUUAAGUGUCUUGUGAAAUCCCACGGCUCAACCGUGGAACUGCUGGGCAUACUGACGAUCUUGAGGCACUCAGGGGCGAGCGGAACAAAUGGUGGAGCGGUGAAAUGCGUAGAUAUCAUUUGGAACGCCGACGGUGAAAACAGCUCGCUGGGGGUGUCCUGACGCUGAGACGCGAAAGCCAGGGGAGCGAACGGG
rnacentral:rRNA from 1 species